rnacentral:rRNA from 1 species
UACGGAGGGUGCAAGCGUUAAUCGGAAUUACUGGGCGUAAAGCGCACGCAGGCGGUCUGUCAAGUCGGAUGUGCAAUCCCCGGGCUCAACCCGGGAACGGCAGUCGAAACUGGCAGACUAGAGUCUUGUAGAGGGGGGUAGAAUUCCAGGUGUAGCGGGGAAAUGCGUAGAGAUCUGGAGGAAUACCGGUGGCGAAGGCGGCCACCUGGACAAAGACUGAC